rnacentral:ncRNA from 14 species
UUAUAGCUCAGUUGGUAGAGCGACGGUCUUAUGAGCCGUAGGUCAUGGGUUCGAGCCCCAUUAAG